CCCUUAGAUGUUCUGGGCUGCACGCGCGCUACACUGAAGCUAUCAACACGUUUUCCCUACCUGAGAAGGGCGGGUAACCUUUUGAAUCAGCUUCGUGGUAGGGAUCGGGGCUUGCAAUUGUUCCCCGUGAACCAGGAAUUCCUAGUAGACGCGAGUCAUAAGCUCGCAUCGAUUAAGUCCCUGCCCUUUGUACACACCGCCCGUCGCUACUACCGAUUGAACGUUUUAGUGAGGCAUUUGGACCGACGCAUCUCAGUUUAACCGCUGGUUUGUGUUGGAAAGACUUCCAAACUUGAGCGUUUAGAGGAAGUAAAAGUCGUAACA
rnacentral:rRNA from 1 species